rnacentral:rRNA from 1 species
AGCGAACGCUGGCGGCAGGCUUAACACAUGCAAGUCGAACGGGCUUCUUCGGAAGUCAGUGGCAGACGGGUGCGUAACACGUGGGAACGUGCCCUUCGGUUCGGAAUAACUCAGGGAAACUUGAGCUAAUACCGGAUACGCCCUUUUGGGGAAAGGUUUACUGCCGAAGGAUCGGCCCGCGUCUGAUUAGCUUGUUGGUGGGGUAACGGCCUACCAAGGCGACGAUCAGUAGCUGGUCUGAGAGGAUGAUCAGCCACACUGGGACUGAGACACGGCCCAGACUCCUACGGGAGGCAGCAGUGGGGAAUAUUGGACAAUGGGCGCAAGCCUGAUCCAGCCAUGCCGCGUGAGUGAUGAAGGCCUUAGGGUUGUAAAGCUCUUUUGUCCGGGACGAUAAUGACGGUACCGGAAGAAUAAGCCCCGGCUAACUUCGUG